UACAGAGGUCCCAAGCGUUGUUCGGAUUCACUGGGCGUAAAGGGCUCGUAGGUGGCCAACUAAGUCAGACGUGAAAUCCCUCGGCUUAACCGGGGAACUGCGUCUGAUACUGGAUGGCUUGAGUUUGGGAGAGGGACGCGGAAUUCCAGGUGUAGCGGUGAAAUGCGUAGAUAUCUGGAGGAAUACCGGUGGCGAAGGCGGCAUCCUGGACCGGCAUUGACGCUGAGGAGCGAAAGCUAGGGGAGCAAACGGG
rnacentral:rRNA from 1 species